UCUUGUGUCUUGUCUAUAGGAAGGGAGUGUAUCCUGGUGUAUGACAGCAUAUAGUAGAGACCAGUGUCAAUUAGGGCCUGUGAACUGAGACAGGGUGACUGGCUAAGUCCACAACCCAUUAGAAACCCAGAAAUAAUCAAAUCAUGGAGAGAUUAGUCCAGGGACAAUAAAUAUGGAUUAGGGAAGAAUGUGUUAACUCAGCAGGCCAGGGUUUCUUCAACCCUGCACAUUCAAAGAGGGAUCAUGGAAAGGAAGCUGAAUUUGCUGAGUUUUGCCACGUGGGCAUUGCAUGCCUAUGUGAUUAACCACCAAUAAAAACCUGGGACAUCAAAAAAUAAAUAAGCUGCUUUAAUUGCCAAGAAUUCACAUGUGGUUGUAUGCAGCAUUACUGGGAGAUUGAAGUGUAUCUGCAUGUGAUUCUACUGUGAUGGACACUUGUAAAUUUGUGCCUGGAGUCUCCUGGAAUUUGCCCUGAGAAUCUUUUUCCUUUGUUGAUAAGAAUCUGCAUCCUUUUGUUUUAAUAAACGAUAAACAUGAGUAUAAUUGCUUCUCUGAGUUCUGAGAGUUUUUUAAAUAAAUAAUCAAAGCUGAAAAGCAAUGGAGACCCCCACCAAAACAUCUUUACACAUUUCAAUUUUGUAUUGAAGUAAAUUUUAUUUUCUUUUUUAUACCUCCCGUAU
rnacentral:lncRNA from 1 species